rnacentral:tRNA from 1 species
GGCUUCGUUGCUCAGUUGGUAGAGCGCUUGCCGCGUUGAGGCAUGCCGUGUCUGCCGCUAGUUCGAAUCCAGCCGAAGCCC